rnacentral:misc_RNA from 1 species
AGGCACAACUAUUCAAGGCUUACCUUGUUCGGUGUUGGCAAGUAAAAUAAAAAUUUGGUAGUUGAAUAUACCUAUUUAGUGAGAAUCCUUUAGUUCCGCAGAGUUGGUGGUUCUAAGGUGAUUUAGGAUGUCAGUAUUUUCUUGCUGUACAAGCUUCAUUUUCCAUUAUCGCUUGGGAAAUAUCACUUUAUUACCACAAUUGCUAUAGUAUUGUUUUUGGAAUGGAUUGGAAUUUGGACCGGUGAACUUUCAUAUAUGACAGUAUUCUGUUUUAUUUAAAAAAC